rnacentral:rRNA from 1 species
GACGAACGCUGGCGGCGUGCUUAACACAUGCAAGUCGAACGGUGAUCUUGGGAGCUUGCUCUUGGGUGAUCAGUGGCGAACGGGUGAGUAACACGUGAGUAACCUGCCCCUGACUCUGGAAUAACUUCGGGAAACCGAAGCUAAUACCGGAUACGACACAGAGCUGUAUGGCUACUGUGUGGAAAGUUUUUCGGUUGGGGAUGGACUCGCGGCCUAUCAGCUUGUUGGUGAGGUAAUGGCUCACCAAGGCGACGACGGGUAGCCGGCCUGAGAGGGCGAUCGGCCACCCUGGGACUGAGACACGGCCCAGACUCCUACGGGAGGCAGCAGUGGGGAAUAUUGCACAAUGGGCGAAAGCCUGAUGCAGCGACGCCGCGUGAGGGAUGAAGGCCUUCGGGUUGUAAACCUCUUUCAGUAGGGAAGAAGCGCAAGUGACGGUACCUACAGAAGAAGCACCGGCUAACUACGUGCCAGCAGCCGCAGUAAUAC